rnacentral:rRNA from 1 species
GCCCAGACUCCUACGGGAGGCAGCAGUGAGGGAUAUUGGGCAAUGGGGGAAACCCUGACCCAGCGACGCCGCGUGAGGGAAGACGGUCUUCGGAUUGUAAACCUCUGUCUUUGGGGACGAAAAAGGACGGUACCCAAGGAGGAAGCUCCGGCUAACUACGUGCCAGCAGCCGCGGUAAUACGUAGGGGGCGAGCGUUAUCCGGAUUCACUGGGUGUAAAGGGCGUGCAGCCGGGCUGACAAGUCAGAUGUGAAAUCCCGCGGCUCAACCGCGGAACUGCAUUUGAAACUGUCAGUCUUGAGUACCGGAGAGGUCAUCGGAAUUCCUUGUGGAGCGGUGAAAUGCGUAGAUAUAAGGAAGAACACCAGUGGCGAAGGCGGAUGACUGGACGGCAACUGACGGUGAGGCGCGAAAGCGUGGGGAGCAAACAGGAUUAGAUACCCCGGUAGC